GAGUUCUAUAACUCCCAAACCCAUGUGAACAUACCAUACGUUGCCUCGGCAGGUCGCGCCUACCCCGUAGCGUCCUACCCUAUAGGACCUACCCGGUAGACGCGGGUAAGCCUGCCGGCGGCCCAAGAAACUCUGUUUAGUAUUGAAUUCUGAACCUAUAACUAAAUAAGUUAAAACUUUCAACAACGGAUCUCUUGGUUCUGGCAUCGAUGAAGAACGCAGCGAAAUGCGAUAAGUAAUGUGAAUUGCAGAAUUCAGUGAAUCAUCGAAUCUUUGAACGCACAUUGCGCCCAUUAGUAUUCUAGUGGGCAUGCCUGUUCGAGCGUCAUUUCAACCCUUAAGCCCUCGUUGCUUAGUGUUGGGAGCCUACGGUACCCGUAGCUCCUCAAAGUUAGUGGCGGAGUCGGUUCACACUCUAGACGUAGUAAUUUUAUCUCGCCUAUCAGUUGGACCGGUCCCCUGCCGUAAAACACCCCCAAUUUCUAAAGGUUGACCUCGGAUCAGGUAGGAAUACCCGCUGAACUUAAGCAUAUCAAUAAGCGGAGGAAAAGAAACCAACAGGGAUUGCCCUAGUAACGGCGAGUGAAGCGGCAACAGCUCAAAUUUGAAAUCUGGCCUUCGGGUCCGAGUUGUAAUUUGUAGAGGAUGCUUUUGGCGCGGUGCCUUCCGAGUUCCCUGGAACGGGACGCCUUAGAGGGUGAGAGCCCCGUACGGUUGGACACCAAGCCUCUGUAUAGCUCCUUCGACGAGUCGAGUAGUUUGGGAAUGCUGCUCUAAAUGGGAGGUAAAUUUCUUCUAAAGCUAAAUAUUGGCCAGAGACCGAUAGCGCACAAGUAGAGUGAUCGAAAGAUGAAAAGCACUUUGAAAAGAGGGUUAAAUAGCACGUGAAAUUGUUGAAAGGGAAGCGUUUGCGACCAGACCUUUUCCUAGCGGAUCAUCCGGUGUUCUCACCGGUGCACUUCGCUAGGUUUAGGCCAGCAUCGGUUUCUGUAGGGGGAUAAAAGCUCUGGGAACGUAGCUCCUUCGGGAGUGUUAUAGCCCUCUGCAUAAUACCCUUACGGGGACCGAGGACCGC
rnacentral:rRNA from 1 species